CACGUAGGCACCAAGCGUUGUCCGGAUUUAUUGGGCGUAAAGAGCUCGUAGGCGGUUGAGUAAGUCGGGUGUGAAAACUCUGGGCUUAACCCAGAGCCGCCACUCGAUACUGCUCUGACUUGAGUUCGGUAGGGGAGCAGGGAAUUCCUAGUGUAGCGGUGAAAUGCGCAGAUAUUAGGAGGAACACCGGUGGCGAAGGCGCUGCUCUGGGACGGUACUGACGCUAAGGCGCGAAAGCGUGGGGAGCGAACAGG
rnacentral:rRNA from 1 species